rnacentral:lncRNA from 1 species
UGCACAAGAACUUUUUCAAGAGGAAAUUGAGCCUGUGGAAGUGAGUGCUUAAAUAUCUAAUGUUUUCUGUUAAAUUUAUCUUUGAGAAAGUGUUAGUGAGUAGUAGAGAUACACUGAUAAAGGCCUUCCAUGUUGAUAAUGGUUGUCAGUUGGUCUCAUAAAGGAAACGUUCAUUCAGGAGAAUUAUAUCUGCUGUAUCCCAGAUGGAUGCUCUUAGGUUCCUGAAAGAUGUAGUCCAUGAUUUCACUCUCAGGCUUCCUCAGAAAAGAUAGCACACAUGCAUCCCAGCAUGGAAAAAAAAACUUCUAUAGGCAUUGGAGGUAACUUUUCUGGGAGAUACCUCUCUGAGGGAAGAGUAAUUUUUUUAAAAAAAGAUUUAUUUAUUUGAAUGGCACAGUUACUGUGGAGAUGGUGGGGGUAGGAGAGAUCGAGAGCAUUUGGACUUACUGAUUCACUCCUAAAAUGACUGCAAAUAGCCAGGGGUGGCUGGGCCAGGCCAAAUCUAGGAUCCUGGAACUCUAUGGGUCUCCAGUGUGGGUAGGAUUUGGGCAAUCUUCUGCUUUCUAAGGCUCAGGGAGCUGGAUCAGAACAGGGAGUGGAUCACAAGUGUAGCAUCCAGGACUUGAACCAGCGCUCAUAUGAAAUUCUGGCAUACAGUCAUUGGCUUAAUCUGCUGUGCCACAAAACCUGUACCAGGGAAGAGUAAUUUUUUGAAGAAUUAGUAUAUAGGACCUUGCUGAAAAAUGUAAUUAAUGAUCUAGUUUAUACCUAUAUAUUAAGUGUAGUUAUUAUAAAACAAAACUUUUUCUUUACAAAAACUCAUUUCAAUAGAUACAUCAGUCUGGUGGUGGGCCUCAACCAGAAGAGCCAGCAGUUCAAGGUCAGAAUAUUCCACCUGGUCAGGAGGUGGAGGAAGAAGGAGCACCCGAGGCUGAAGGGCCCCAUGUGGCAUCUGAUGUCCAGGAACAUUUUCAGCCUGACCCUGGUGAUAUAUAUGAAAAUGGUCCUGAAAUCAAUGGGACAGAACCUCCUAACUAGAGCACUACAAUGCCAAAAGCAGGUAUGUAUAGCUCAUUAAAGGCCAACAUUAUGUGACUUUGUUUUUCAUGAUAUUAAACCAUUUAUAAUACCAUAGAUAUAACAUUAAUGCUACUUUAAUAACAGCAUUCACAUAAAAAGACCCUGGAUGACAAGUCAGACUUCAGAAGCCUGACUGGCAACAUGACACAUUUUCCAAUAAGUGAGACAAAAUGAGUCAAAGCCAUAUCGAAUUAAAAUAUAUGAAAACAAUUUCUUACUUGUCAACAUUAAUCUUCUAACCAACAGCUAAUGCUUUUUACACUGUUAGAAUUUAAGUUUUCAUGAAAUACGUAUAGCAUUUGUAUUGUCAUUUGCAUGAAGGACUGAGGCAUCACAGAAGAUUUUAUUUAUUUUUAAUUUCCUAAAAAGAUAUUUAUUUGAAAGUCAGUUACACAAAGAUAAAAGGAGGGAGGGAGGUAGGGAGGGUGGGAGGGUGAGGGAGAGAGAGAGAUCUUCCACUUACUGGUUCACUCCUCA